rnacentral:rRNA from 1 species
UUUGAUGGCGACCGGCGCACGGUGAGUAACACGUAUCCAACCUGCCGAUGACUCGGGGAUAGCCUUUCGAAAGAAAGAUUAAUACCCGAUGGCAUAGUUCUUCCGCAUGGUGGAACUAUUAAAGAAUUUCGGUCAUCGAUGGGGAUGCGUUCCAUUAGGUUGUUGGCGGGGUAACGGCCCACCAAGCCUUCGAUGGAUAGGGGUUCUGAGAGGAAGGUCCCCCACAUUGGAACUGAGACACGGUCCAAACUCCUACGGGAGGCAGCAUG